UAAUUACUCUUAAUAAGGGCUAGUUCAAGGAACUUACUAAUCUCCAGUAUUUUACGUUGAAAAUAAACAAUGCUACUAGCAGGGAUAGUGUUAUUACUGACAUUGGUCGCAAUGCUUAUAUUGCCAAUUUAAACCUGCAUAAGACAGUUAAUAAUGACGUUGGAUAAAACGUUUCAUUGUGACCUAACCUUUAUUGACGAACUCUGCACACAUGACGGCUCUAUACAAAACUUAAAGCUUUACUUCGUAAAAGACUUAAGAAUUUUAAGUAGAGGAUGAUUCUCGCUAAGAUUAAAAAAAUAAGAACUGUUACGGCGCGAACUUUGGGGAUGAAGAAGGAAAAAAUAACGAUAUCACCUGUACUUAGGAGAUUAGAAAGCAAAAGACUAAAACCCCAGUUCUAUAUGAAAAAAAUUGUGCUCUCUUUACGGUUAGCUUUAUGCUUGUUAGACUGAGUUAGCAACUUCGUGGGUAGAUAAACCGAUUAUAUAUCAUGUACUUGGCAAAAUCAUGGGUAUUAGUGUACGAAGGGCUCGUAUAAGAGUUUUUAGUUUAUAAAAA